GCCAGACUCCUACGGGAGGCAGCAGUGGGGAAUAUUGGGCAAUGGGCGCAAGCCUGACCCAGCAACGCCGCGUGAAGGAAGAAGGCUUUCGGGUUGUAAACUUCUUUUAUGAGGGACGAAACAAAUGACGGUACCUCAUGAAUAAGCCACAGCUAACUACGUGCCAGCAGCCGCGGUAAUACGUAGGGGGCAAGCGUUGUUCGGAAUGACUGGGCGUAAAGGGUGCGUAGGCGGUGUAGCAAGUUAGAAGUGAAAUACCUAGAGCUUAACUCAGGUGCUGCUUCUAAAACUGCUAUACUUGAGUGCAGUAGAGGAAAGUGGAAUUCCUAGUGUAGCGGUGGAAUGCGUAGAUAUUAGGAGGAACAUCAGUGGCGAAGGCGACUUUCUGGACUGUAACUGACGCUGAGGCACGAAAGUGUGGGGAGCAAACAGGAUUAGAUACCCUAGUAA
rnacentral:rRNA from 1 species